rnacentral:tmRNA from 2 species
GGGGACGAUCGGUUUCGACGAAAGGCUCUUUUAAAAGAUUGCAAGCCAAGUUUGACCCCACACUUGUUAAAAAGAGGUCAAAACUAAGCGUCAACACACAACGUUACGCUGUAGCCUACGCCUAAAAAGCGGAAGCUUCUGUCCGCCAACUUGUUUUCUAUCCGGGUUGGCCGGGCAUAAACCAGAUGGAAUGCUGUAAAUAUUGAUGGCUUUAAUAUAUUUACGAAAGAAAAUAAGCCAAAAAACGUCCCGUUCGACGGGAACAAGCUUGUAGACAUCUUUUAGUUGACUUUUCGGACGAGGGUUCGAUUCCCUCCGUCUCCACAC